UACGGAGGGGGCUAGCGUUGUUCGGAAUUACUGGGCGUAAAGCGCGCGUAGGCGGGAGGCCAAGUCCGCUGUGAAAGCCCGGGGCUUAACCCCGGCGGGUCGGUGGAGACUGGUCUUCUUGAAGAUGCUAGGGGGAGAUGGAAUUAUCGGUGUAGCGGUGAAAUGCGUAGAGAUCGAUAGGAACACCAGUGGCGAAGGCGGUCUCCUGGGGCACUCUUGACGCUGAGGCGCGAAAGCUGGGGGAGCGAACGGG
rnacentral:rRNA from 1 species